GACGAACGCUGGCGGCGUGCUUAACACAUGCAAGUCAAACGAUGAUGCCAGCUUGCUGGUGGAUUAGUGGCGAACGGGUGAGUAACACGUGGGUGAUCUGCCCCAAACUUUGGGAUAAGCCUGGGAAACUGGGUCUAAUACCGGAUAGUACCUUCCCUUGCAUGGGGGUUGGUGGAAAGCUCCGGCGGUUUGGGAUGGGCCCGCGGCCUAUCAGCUUGUUGGUGGGGUAAUGGCCUACCAAGGCAACAACGGGUAGCCGGCCUGAGAGGGCGACCGGCCACACUGGGACUGAAACACGGCCCAAACUCCUACGGGAGGCAGCAGUGGGGAAUAUUGCACAAUGGGCGCAAGCCUGAUGCACCGACCCCGCGUGAGGGAUGACGGCCUUCGGGUUGUAAACCUCUUUCACCAGGGACAAAGCGUGAGUGACGGUACCUGAAGAAAAAGCACCGGCCAACUACGUG
rnacentral:rRNA from 1 species